rnacentral:rRNA from 1 species
UACGUAGGGCGCAAGCGUUGUCCGGAAUUAUUGGGCGUAAAGAGCUCGUAGGCGGCUUGUCACGUCGGGUGUGAAAGCCCGGGGCUUAACCCCGGGUCUGCAUUCGAUACGGGCUAGCUAGAGUAUGGGAGAGGGAAGCGGAAUUUCUGGUGUAGCAGUGAAAUGCGUAGAUAUCAGAAGGAACAUCAGUGGCGAAGGCGGCUUCCUGGACCAAUACUGACGAUCAGGUGCGAAAGCGUGGGGAGCAAACAGG